UAGGCAGUAGUGAGUCUCCAUGUCGUCUUCUGGUUCCUUGAGAACUUUUUUUUCUGUACAUGACUAGGGUUGAGUGAUAUGAAUAUUUCAAUGAUGAUGAACAGAAUAAAAGGCUACCAGUGCACUAAAGAAGAUAUGGAAUUUCUUCAACACAUGAAAAACCAAGAACAAGCACAGAAAUUGAAGGCAAAAUAUUUACAUCUACAAAAGGAACGGACCAGCAUGGGUCAGACAAAGGAGCUGCUACUAGCACAGCGAGAGAAAGUGCAGGAAGAGAUUGUACAAAUGAAAACAUCUUAUGAUAGAACAGUCCAACUUGGAAGAGCUGUCCUGGGUAAGAAAAUGGAUCCUGCUGCCGUUGAAGCAUUGCCACCAAAAGCUGUGCUUGGGCAGCUGAAUCCUGGGAAACUGCAGCAAGUUCAACAGCAAGAGAGGGCUGAACUUCAGGCACUCACAAAAGAGCUAAAGAAGUUAAAACAUUCCAUUGCCCAACUGCCUCAGAAACAGGGAAUAAGGCUGGAAAGAGAGUCUUGUAAACAACAGAUACAGGAAGCGGCACAUAGAGUACAGCAAGCACAAGAAGAUGUGGAGAAUCUGAAAUGCAAAGUUGAAGCAGCACAGUCAAAAUUAGCAGAAGUUCAGGCACACCUGUGUAAUACAAGAGUUGAAAUAGAGAAGUGGCACACGUUGAAAGAGAAGACAACUGUUUCUCAGCCACUGGAGAAUGCCCAAGAUUCUGACAAUAAUUAUCUUAAGAGAAGACUUAACAGAAUCUUGCGAAGAACAGAUAUCUUUUUAGAAAGGGAAAAAAUAAUUGAAAGAUUUAAUCUUUUGCAAUGA
rnacentral:lncRNA from 1 species